rnacentral:tRNA from 1 species
CCGGGUGUAGCGCAGUUGGUAGCGCGCUUGGUUCGGGACCAAGAGGCCGGGCGUUCAAGUCGCCUCACUCGGACCA